rnacentral:rRNA from 1 species
UACGUAGGGGCAAGCGUUGUCCGGAAUCAUUGGGCGUAAAGAGCGUGUAGGCGGCCCGAUAAGUCCGCUGUGAAAGUCCAGGGCUCAACCCUGGAAUGCCGGUGGAUACUGUCGGGCUCGAAUCCGGAAGAGGUGAGUGGAAUUCCUGGUGUAGCGGUGAAAUGCGCAGAUAUCAGGAGGAACACCAAUGGCGAAGGCAGCUCACUGGGACGGUAUUGACGCUGAGACGCGAAAGCGUGGGGAGCAAACAGG